rnacentral:snRNA from 1 species
AUCGCUUCUCGGCCUUGUGGCUAAGAUCCGGUGUAGUAUCUGUUCUUGGCGUGGGGGGGGGGGGUGUAUCCCAGCUAAAGGAUGCAUCGGGUUUUCAACUCCCC